GGCAAUGAAGGAUUGGAGGAAUAGGAGAGUCAGGAAAGUAUGACUGACUCUCCUAUUCCUCCAAUCCUUCAUUGCUUG
rnacentral:miRNA from 1 species